UUUUUUUUUUUUUUUUUUUUUUUUGUAAUGCGACUGAAGGUUGUAAAGGGGACAGACAGUCAUUGGAAAGAUGUUUAAACACACACACAUGCACACACACACAUACAUAUUCUAUAAAGACACAGCUCUUUUGGGUUCAUGGAACUUCUUGCUUCUGCAAUAACAAAGCAGUGGACAUUUUGUCAUACUUUUUGGCCUUCCAGUGUCUGAACCUCCUUCCUGUGUUUGGGAGUUUCUCACAUUAUGAGGCAUAGUCUGUAACGUGCUAUAGAAAUGAAAAUAGACAUUUUCUUUACCAGCCUCCAUUGUAGCUAGGGAAUGGGCUACAUAGCCUAGGCUCUGGCAAGCAGAUUUUAAAUGGAAAGCUGCUGAUGUGAAGAAGCAGGGUCGCAAUAGGGGUUGCUUUCUAGAGGCAGCAGGGACAGUG
rnacentral:lncRNA from 1 species